GCUAAAUUUAUUCUCCAAAAUAAAAGAAAUAGCACUUUUCUUAGUCUGCGGCUCUUAAACCAAAUUCACCAUUUACAAGGUAGCAUCCAGGAAAAACUUCCCCCAGAUUACCAUAAAGUGAUUCGGUUCUUAAAGACAAAAGUCCCAGUUCUCACGGUCUUUUCUCCUCAAGGCUGAGCAACCAGAAUGCUGUGAGUGAGGUUUUCCUAGGAGGACAAUCCCACGUCCCUUCUCCCGGAGUUGUCUCUCCCAGUUAGUGACGAGCCGUGAAGAAUGGUCCCUUCACUGCCAAGGACCACAUCACAUUCAAUCAUUGUCAAAGAACUGUCAGGUCGCCUGCCAAGGAGCAUCGGAAAGGCCACGGCCAAGGACCAGCCAGGAAGCUGGGAAGGAUGGGGGCUCGCACCGGCUGCAGAAAACCCAGGGACGGAUUUCAACAGAGGUCGGCAGAGGAGCCUGAGGGGUAUGCUGGUUUUACAUGAUUACCAUCAGGCUUAAAAGAGACACCAUGGAAGUAAGGAUUAUGAGACCAUCAUGAGCAGUAAUAUGAAAACAAAUUGGAUAACCUAGACUGGAAGAAUUCCAAAGACAUGCACAUUACCAAGACUGAAGCAUGAAGUGAAACAUCUGAACACAUCAAUGAGAUUGAUUGUAAUAACUAUUUCACAACAAAGAUUACUCUAGAUGGGUUCACUGGUACAUUGUGCAAAACACUUGAAGGAAUAACACCAAUGCUUAUCAAAUUCUCCCCAAAGAAUUAAGAGGAAGAAUGUUCCCAAACUCAUUUUAUAAGACUAGCAUUGCCCUGAUAUCAAAGCCAAAGACAAUAUAAGAAAUAAAUUGUAGACCAAUACCCA
rnacentral:lncRNA from 1 species